UCGCCCUGAUUCCCCACCAGCGCCCCCUUCCUGGGCAAAGCCCUGCUGGGGCCCUCCUGGUGGGCACGAGGUGGUCCGGGACAGGGUGACCGGCCCCGCCCUUCCCUUUGCCCGCGGGCGUCGCAGUCCGGCAGGGCAGGAUGAGCUCCCGGGCCGCCCCGCGGCUGCUGAGGCUCCAGCGACACCUAGGUCCCCAGGAGGGCAGCAGCAUGGAGCCUAGGGACAGCCCACUGACCACCCAUGUGCUGGACACCGCCUCGGGGCUCCCAGCCAAAGGCCUCUGUCUCCGCUUGUCCUGGCUGGAGGACCACAGCCAGCAGUGGAUGGAGCUGAGGACAAGCUACACAGACCCAGAUGGCCGCUGCCCUGGACUCCUGAUGCCGGACCAGAUGAAGGCAGGCACCUACAAGCUCACCUUCGACACUGAGGGCUACUGGAGGAAGAGGGGGCAGGAAAGCUUCUACCCAUACGUGGAGGUUGUGUUCACCAUCACCAGCAAUGCCCAGAAGUUCCACGUGCCCCUGCUGCUGAGCCCCUGGUCCUACACCACCUAUCGAGGGAGCUAGAGCGAAGACUGGCAGCAGGAGGCUGUCUACCCUUUCCCGCACGCUGGCUGCACCCACCCAGCCCUCAACAGAGUGGGCUUCAUGCUCAUCGGGGAGCACUGGUGUCACCAGUUCCUGGGAAAGUCCUGGCCCCUUGGAGAAUCCCACUGGGCGGCUGUGACUCAGGUGUCAAUAAAAUCAGUGCCAGCACCUGCAAAGCUGUCCAUUUGAUGAGACAACAGUGGCAUGAAGACAGGCAGCACAGUGCAGCACUGCCCCAGCCCCCAGCAGCACUCAGAGCCUGUAGCUUGCGCUCUAGCACCAGGUUCUUGAAGCCUGUCUUCUGCUGCACCUCCUGGAUGGCUGCAGUGAACUUCCGGUAGAGCUCGUCCCGCUCCUGCUGCACCUGCAGGGACAGCGCUGGGGUGGGCGAUGAGGCUCCUCACCUGGGGACAUCUCGCUGGCAAGACGCUGCCUCCCACCUCUGCACCUGCCUGGAACAUGCUGCUUCUAUGGGAGGUGGCUUUCCAAUAACGCCCGCUCCCACCGCGCCGGGGUCACCGGGGUGUGGGCCACACUGCCUGCACCCUGGCCCUCCGAACAGCCGCCACACAGUGGAAGGCAGGAGGAAAACAUCGGCACGAGCCCUCCUCUCAGGAAGGUGUCUCUGGAAGCUGUGAGUGUCCUGGCGAGAGCUAGAGCAGCCCCACCCUGAAAGCUGCUCCAUGGGUGGCCGAGGCCGGUCUUGCCCGAGUGAGGGCUGUGGGCUCAGGUGAGAUGUGAGAUCCAGGGCAUCCAGCAGGCAGAGCUUGCAGGUGGCACCCCUUGGAGGAUGUGCUCCCUUGGCCCGCCCCAGAUCCUGGCAUCACAGGACAGAUGCUGUCUGCCCCCAUAAAUGGCGGAUCUGGAGCAUGGCCUUGGAGCCAGCUGCCUGCCGGCCAGUAAGACUAUUCUUUUUUACCUCCUAA